GGCCGCGUGGCGCAAUGUAUAACGCGUAUGCCUACGGAGCAGAAGAUUGCAGGUUCGAAUCCUGCCGUGGUCG
rnacentral:tRNA from 1 species